ncrna:Eptesicus fuscus (big brown bat) microRNA efu-mir-9243a precursor
CCUUGCACGAAUUCCAUGCAUUAGGCCUCUAGUGUAGUUAUAACAAUACUAGAGGCCCAGUGCACGAAUCCGUGCAUGGGU